rnacentral:lncRNA from 1 species
GAUUAAUCUUUAUACAGGAGGGCUGCCUUUUCAUUCCAAGUGAGCAUCAUACGACCUGAAAACAUUUUACAACAUCUUUGCAUUAAGAAGCAUAAAGCAAGGCCAAAUACAAGCCAUGAUCCUGGCCCAGGAACCCAUUGGGUCAGGUGUGGUAUAAAAGAUGGUUUGUGC